UACAGAGGUCCCAAGCGUUGUUCGGAUUCACUGGGCGUAAAGGGUGCGUAGGUGGUUAGGUAAGUCCGAUGUGAAAUCUCCAGGCUCAACCUGGAAAUGGCAUUGGAUACUAUCUAGCUUGAGGAGUGGAGGGGGGACUGGAAUUCUCGGUGUAGCAGUGAAAUGCGUAGAUAUCGAGAGGAACACCAGUGGCGAAGGCGAGUCCCUGGACACUUCCUGACACUGAGGCACGAAAGCUAGGGGAGCAAAACAGG
rnacentral:rRNA from 1 species